UACAGAGGUCUCGAGCGUUAGGCGGAAUCACUGGGCUUAAAGGGCGCGUAGGCGGGCUGUCAAGUCUGGGGUGAAAUCCCGCGGCUCAACCGUGGAACUGCCUCAGAUACUGACGGCCUCGAGGGAGAUAGGGGCGAGCGGAACUAAUGGUGGAGCGGUGAAAUGCGUUGAUAUCAUUAGGAACUCCGGUGGCGAAGGCGGCUCGCUGGAUCUUUUCUGACGCUGAGGCGCGAAAGCUAGGGGAGCAAACGGG
rnacentral:rRNA from 1 species